rnacentral:rRNA from 1 species
CAGCCGCCGCGGUAAUACGUAGGGUGCGAGCGCUAAUCGGAAUUACUGGGCGUAAAGCGUGCGCAGGCGGUUGUGUAAGACAGGUGUGAAAUCCCCGGGCUUAACCUGGGAACUGCGCUUGUGACUGCACAGCUAGAGUAUGGCAGAGGGGGGUGGAAUUCCACGUGUAGCAGUGAAAUGCGUAGAGAUGUGGAGGAACACCGAUGGCGAAGGCAGCCCCCUGGGCCAAUACUGACGCCCAUGCACGAAAGCGUGGGGAGCAAACAGGAUUAGAUACCCCAGUAGUCCCUGUCUCUUAUAC